rnacentral:misc_RNA from 1 species
AUCAGCCAAGAGCUAUCCAUACGCACAGCGAUGCACCAGCACGAGAUACUAGCCAUCAUGCGCCUGUCGUCCCUCCUCCUCGUCGUGGCCGCCCUCUCGGCGCGCGCCGCGGCGCAGCAGGUGCCGCCGGUGGGCGGCAGCGCUCUGAAGCCGGACUACUACAGCCAGUCGUGCCCGCGCGCGGAGCGGAUCAUCGCGGAGGUGAUGCAGACGAAGCAGAUGGCGAACCCGACGACGGCCGCGGGCAUGCUGCGCGUCUUCUUCCACGACUGCUUCGUCACCGGGUGCGACGCGUCGGUGCUGAUCGCGUCCACCCAGUUCCAGAAGUCGGAGCACGACGCGGAGAUCAACCACUCGCUCCCCGGGGACGCCUUCGACGCCGUGGUGCGCGCCAAGCUGGCCCUGGAGCUGGAGUGCCCCGGGGUGGUGUCCUGCGCCGACAUCCUCGCGCUGGCGUCGGGGGUGCUGGUCACCAUGACCGGCGGGCCCCGGUACCCGAUCCCGCUGGGGCGCAAGGACUCGCUGUCGUCGUCGCCCACGGCGCCCGACGUCGAGUUGCCACACGCCAACUUCACCGUGGACCGCCUCAUCCAGAUGUUCGGCGGCAAGGGGUUCACGGUGCAGGAGCUGGUGGCGCUGUCCGGCGCCCACACGCUGGGCUUCUCCCACUGCAAGGAGUUCGCCGACCGCCUCUACAACUUCCGCAGCCAGGGCGGGAAGCCGGAGCCGUUCGACCCCAGCAUGAACCCGUCCUACGCCAGGGGGCUGCAGGACGUGUGCAAGGACUACCUCAAGGACCCCACCAUCGCCGCGUUCAACGACAUCAUGACUCCCGGCAAGUUCGACAACAUGUACUUCGUCAACCUGGAGCGCGGCCUCGGACUGCUCAGCACCGACGAGGAGCUGUGGACGGACCCCCGCACCAAGCCCCUGGUGCAGCUCUACGCGUCCAACCCCACUGCCUUCUUCACCGACUUCGGCCGCGCCAUGGAGAAGCUCAGCUUGUUCGGCGUCAAGACCGGCGCCGACGGCGAGGUCAGGCGGCGCUGCGACGCGUACAACAGCGGCCCCGACGUUGGCGGCGCCAUGCCUAUGGCUAUGCCCAUGCCCAAGAUGUGACGCUGCGCGCGCUACAAGUACAACGACGGCGGCCGCACGCGUGCUUGUCUGCCGAUCGAUCGACGGCCGAGCUGUGUGGCACGAUGACCCCUGCUGCUCCUAUAGUCCUAUACGGCGGUCACGAUGGUGUUAAAAAAAAUAUAUGCGGAGAUGUGAUAUGUUUCCUGCUUGAUCAAGUAAUUUAUUUCUAAUCCGUGUGCUGCGAAAAAAAACUCUUCGAAGUGUUGCUGCUUGCUAGUAUAAAUUAAUUUAUUUUUUUAUCCUUUGAUCGUACUCAUCGUCAUGUAUGUAAGUAAAGUCACGCAGACUGUCACAUUGUUUUCUUGUCAACAGUUUGUGAGACAGACUGUUUUUUAAGC